rnacentral:rRNA from 1 species
UGGGGAAUCUUGCGCAAUGGACGAAAGUCUGACGCAGCAACGCCGCGUGGGUGAUGAAGGUCUUCGGAUCGUAAAGCCCUGUCGGAGGGGAAGAUGCUUGUGCGUGUUAAUAGUAUGCACAGGUGACGGUACCCUUAAAGGAAGCACCGGCUAACUCUGUGCCAGCAGCCGCGGUAAUACAGAGGGUGCAAGCGUUGUUCGGAAUUAUUGGGCGUAAAGGGAGUGUAGGCGGCAUGCAUAGUCUUCUGUGAAAUCUACGGGCUUACCCCGUAACGUGCAGAGGAUACUGGCAAGCUAGAGUGUCGGAGAGGAUAGUGGAAUUCCAGGUGUAGAGGUGAAAUUCGUAGAGAUCUGGAGGAACACCAGUGGCGAAGGCGACUAUCUGGCUGACAACUGACGCUGAGACUCGAAAGCAUGGGGAGCAAACAG